UCUGGAUAGUUCCAUAGGUUCAUGGCCUUUCAAAACAAGCCCUUCCAGUUAUAAAAAAGGUCUUUGUCUAGGUAAAAUACAGGGCCCGCGGGGGGGAAGGAGGCAUUUUGAAAGACAGAUAAGUCAGGGACAGUUUCCUGAAGUAGCCUGUAAUCAUUGCAAGACAAAGAUAAGAUAAGAGCCAUCCUUUAUUUGCAUUUGCACGUUCCGAACAUGUGGACACUGAAUAGGCUCUUGUAAACACUCUCAGAGCCUGAUUGUUGCUCCCCUGCUCGGGAGUCACGCACUAUUAAUCAUGCAGAAAUAGGCCAGGCCCUUCGCCGCAACCUAAUCCAAUACUUCUGCUCAGAAUGGUCUAUAAUUAAAGAGUGCGAGAACUGUUAGAGAUGAAACAUUAGGAUAAGGAGUCGAUAUAAGCUGGAAGGGCUGAGCCUCCCAACAGUGCACGCAGCUCUGGACCGACGUCAGCAAUGAGGCUCAUAUACAUCUUGAUUCUGUUGGGGGAAGUGGUAGCAGAGCCAGUCACAGGUGAGUUACCUGAAAUAUUCCAAACUAUUGAGCUAUUUUUUCAAAUAUGCCAGUGGACGUAGCACCUUUCUGUCCUUGCUAUCCAGCCCGUAGAGGCGUGCUGAUGUUGCUGAAUGGUGAGAGGAUCCAUCUGAUGCCAUUUCUAGACACACAUUGCUACAAAUCCCAUUUUAAUAACAUCAACACCCACUUCCGUCUGUCCUUUUAGAGGCCCUGGCCAUGACUACGGAGAAGACGGUGGUGUCGACCCCUGCAGGUUUGUGCUUGAAAUCCACACUAGCAGAUGUCGUCGAUGUUUCACGCGCUGCUGACUAUCAUAUUUGCUAUUGCAGCGUACAGGAAGCCUAACCCCGCCAAUAAAGCAGAGGUAGAGCCAGACUCCGAAGACGUGUCCGAAGCAGCAUCGGAAGAGAAGAUGACGGAUUCCGACAGUCAGGAGAUCCCGUCCUCCAAGGCCAUGCAAGCAGGGAAACCUCCAUUCAAGAGGAGGACAGCCGUAGACGAGAUGAUCAGGAGGUGGGCGCAGGAGCGGGGCAGCAGGGAGAGGAACGAUCCUGACAGCGAAGAACACCCCAGUCCUUCAGGAGCUCAGGCGCUCUGCCCAGACAGGACGGCAGAACCAGCCAGUGAUGAUCAAAGCAGGGACCUGCAGGACCCGGACAGUCCGGAGGGCAACUGCGGCAGACCAGCACCAGCGGAAGGCCGAGACUUGGAGAUCCCAGCGAGGUCUCCGGCGGCUCCUCCGGAGAACAAGCGGAGAGCAUCCGGUCCGACCAAGAGCCAGAGGCCCUGAAGAUGACGCGGAG
rnacentral:lncRNA from 1 species